GGCGAACGGGUGAGUAACACGUGGGCAAUCUGCCCUGCACUCUGGGACAAGCCCUGGAAACGGGGUCUAAUACCGGAUAUGAGCCUCCAUCGCAUGGUGGGGGCUGUAAAGCUCCGGCGGUGCAGGAUGAGCCCGCGGCCUAUCAGCUUGUUGGUGAGGUAACGGCUCACCAAGGCGACGACGGGUAGCCGGCCUGAGAGGGCGACCGGCCACACUGGGACUGAGACACGGCCCAGACUCCUACGGGAGGCAGCAGUGGGGAAUAUUGCACAAUGGGCGAAAGCCUGAUGCAGCGACGCCGCGUGAGGGAUGACGGCCUUCGGGUUGUAAACCUCUUUCAGCAGGGAAGAAGCGCAAGUGACGGUACCUGCAGAAGAAGCGCCGGCUAACUACGUGCCAGCAGCCGCGGUAAUACGUAGGGCGCAAGCGUUGUCCGGAAUUAUUGGGCGUAAAGAGCUCGUAAGCGGCUUGUCGCGUCGGUUGUGAAAGCCCGGGGCUUAACCCCGGGUCUGCAGUCGAUACGGGCAGGCUAGAGUUCGGUAGGGGAGAUCGGAAUUCCUGGUGUAGCGGUGAAAUGCGCAGAUAUCAGGAGGAACACCGGUGGC
rnacentral:rRNA from 2 species